AUUUAUUUAUUUAUUUUUAGAGAUGGCGUCUCGCUCUGUCACCCAGGCUGGAGUACAGUGGCAUGAUCUCGGCUCACUGCAACCUCCGUCUCGCACGUUCAAGCUAUCCUCCCACCUCAGCCUCCUGAGUACCUGGAACUACAGGCUUCCUUCUACCUUCACCAGCAAAUUUGGCCAUGUCUUCUAUUUCGUACAAGCUUCCUGCAUGGGCAGGGAACACAUUUUAGCCAAGAAGAGGAUGUACUUAUUGGUUCAAGGAACUUCCACCUUCCACAAAGAAACCCCAUUCCAGGUACCGAUGGGGGAAAGGUGGAGGUGGGAACAAUCUCCAAG
rnacentral:lncRNA from 1 species